UACGUAGGGCGCAAGCGUUAUCCGGAAUUAUUGGGCGUAAAGAGCUCGUAGGCGGUUUGUCGCGUCUGCCGUGAAAGUCCGGGGCUCAACUCCGGAUCUGCGGUGGGUACGGGCAGACUAGAGUGAUGUAGGGGAGACUGGAAUUCCUCGUGUAGCGGUGAAAUGCGCAGAUAUCAGGAGGAACACCGAUGGCGAAGGCAGGUCUCUGGGCAUUAACUGACGCUGAGGAGCGAAAGCAUGGGGAGCGAACAGG
rnacentral:rRNA from 1 species